rnacentral:rRNA from 1 species
AUGAAUUAAGUACUAAGUAUAUUUCAUUUACAAUGAUAAGGUCUAUUUAUUAGAAUUCAUUAACUAAAACUGAAAAAAAAUUUAAAUAUAUUAUUUACCUUUUGCAUAAUGGUUUAAUAAACACUACAAAUUUGUUUUCCCCGAAUUUAGAAAAUCUAAUUUUUAGAAAAAAAAUUAAUAAUGUUUCAAAAUUAUAAUUUAGAAAAAAUUAGGGGUGAAAGGCUUAUCAAUUCUAAAGAUAUCUGGAAUAAUUUAAAAUGUAUUUAGUACAAAUAAAAUUUUGAAUAAAAAAAUGUUAAUUUUUUUAUAAAGAAUGUUAAAUAAUAUAAUUAAGGAUUAAUCUCCUAUUUAAAUUUUAAAAAUCAAUAGUUAUUUAUAUCUUUAAUAUAAAAUUAUAUUUAUACCUACUUUAAAAUUAAUUAUGUUAAAAUUAGUAUAAAUUAUAUUAUUUAUUUAAGGAACUCGGCAUUCAUCUGUUUAUCAAAAACAUAGUCUUAUGAAAAUAUAAGGUGAAACCUGCCCACUGAUUAUAAAUGGCCGCAGUACUUUGACUGUGCUAAGGUAGCAUAAUAAAUUGACUCUUAAUUGGGGCCUUGAAUGAAGGGAUUAAUGGGUAAUUUCUGUCUUAAAUAAAUAAAUUUAAAAUUACUUAAAAGGUGAAAAUUCCUUUAAUAUAAUAAAAUAGACGAGAAGACCCUAGGAGUUAUUUUGUUGGGGCGACAAUAUAGCAUAACCUAUAUAUUAAAAACAAUAAUACGUAAUAAUAAUAAAAUAACUACCCUAGGGAUAACAGCAUAAUUUAUUCUUAAGUUUGUGACCUCGAUGUUGGAUUAGGAACUUUUAAAGCUAACAGCGUUAA